UACGGAGGGGGCUAGCGUUGUUCGGAAUUACUGGGCGUAAAGCGCGCGUAGGCGGACCUGCAAGUCGGGGGUGAAAGCCCGAGGCUCAACCUUGGAAUUGCCUUUGAUACUGAGGGCCUUGAGACCGGAAGAGGUCGGCGGAACUGCGAGUGUAGAGGUGAAAUUCGUAGAUAUUCGCAAGAACACCAGUGGCGAAGGCGGCCGACUGGUCCGGUUCUGACGCUGAGGCGCGAAAGCGUGGGGAGCAAACAGG
rnacentral:rRNA from 1 species